ACACCUGUUUCUAGUUUACCAUUUAUUGCAUUGGUUGAUUCGGACAGUAUGGUUGAAGUCUGCUUCGUUGAAACUAGCACAGGUAUAUUCCAAGAAAUUGUAUUUACCUUUUAACGCCACAUCAUCGGAUUGAUUGUUCUUUAGCUUCCCCUAUCAUGAUUCUCCUACUAAACGUCUGUUGACAGUGUUACAGUGGCUGUGUUAUUGUUUGUUUCUCAUAAGAUACGAAACCAACAUCGAUCUAGGGCAAAGAUUUCGUUGGCAAACAAUAACAUAUAAAUGACUAACUAGCCCUGGUUAUAACACAGGUGUGAUGACGUCACUGUCUCUGAUUUAGGUAGUUUUUUUUUAUUUUUAUUGCCAGGAAGUUGGGUUACUAAACUGCAGUUUUGUUUGUUGUGAAAUAGUAGUUGAUUGACCAGAUUAAGUUUUUUUUCCUUGUUUAAGAAUUAUUUCAAUGUCCGUUUAUCUCUCCUUGGCUCGCAACUUGAUUGUCUAGACAUUGUAUAAAAUAGUUUUUGUCAUACGAAGCCGAAACUUACUACGUGUUUUAUGUGUCAGCAUUGAUUUGAAACCAUUUAGUGUAGGUAUGACUUUAUUAUUUCAGGCUGGAGGUAGAAACAAAAAGAUAAUAGAAUUUUGGGUGACAGAGCAUUGCAACGCCAACUUGAUAACAAAGAAAGGGAUUCAACAAAAAGCUUAGGAAAUGCUGAAAUGUUGAAUUUAGAAGCUGGAGAAAGUCAAUGAUUAUGUUUGAGAAUAUUGAUGAAAGUUGGAGGGCAUCUGAGCCGAGAUGAAAAUCUUUCCCAAGCCAUCGCGACUCACUGUGUCAAAUGGUUUGGCUAGAUCGAUGAAGGUAAGUGUACAAGUCAUGUUCUGUUCCCUGCAUUUUAAUCAUUACAUGUAACACUUUUGUUUUCGAUUUUUCGUUAGUGCCUUUUGGGCCCCUAUUUGUCAUGUUCACUGAACCUUAUCGUGCUACGCUACUAAGGCUAGCAAUGUAUUUGAUGAAAGUAUUCUCAGGUUGUAUUUAGAACUACUAUACCUCUACUACUAGAUCGAUAUCUCAUGUUCAACGGAUGAAAAAAGAUGUGGAACGGUAUGCAAGACUUUUGUCUCAAAUUGUACAUUGUAAGAAGACUUUAGAUUUGUCUACAACAGUGUUUUCCAAAGUGAGGUACGCCCACCCACCAAGGAUACGGGAAGACUUUGGAGGGGGUACGCUUUGCACUUCAUUAACUAUGCUGAUUUUCUUUAGUACUCAUUUGUAUUAUAAAACUAGCGCGCUGUAUAUUGUGCUUGUCCAUUUUCCAAUGAUUCUAACCCAAUUUCCUUCCCUUUAGCUGUCUUUUUAUGUAAGAAAAACGAAUUUCAAAUUUGUUAGUCAGGUUGUUGUUUUUUCCUAUGUUACCCGGAUGACUUAAUAUUUACCUCUUCCUAGAGUUAAGACUAUAUUUUUUGAUUGGCUAAGUCUAUACUAAUGAGCCCCGCAAUAUUUAUUCUGUUUUUGGAGCUAAUUUAUUUGAUUCAUAAGCCAAGUUUUCUAAUUCCAUACCAAAACAAAAAUUAAUACGGUGUCCGAAUUAAAUUACGAUUUUCUUACCAAAAUGUAUUUCGGACAGCCAGUUUUGGACAUCAAUUAAA